rnacentral:rRNA from 1 species
GAUGAACGCUAGCGGCAGGCUUAAUACAUGCAAGUCGAGGGGCAGCAGGUCUGUAGCAAUACAAUUGAUGGCGACCGGCAAACGGGUGCGGAACACGUACACAACCUUCCAACAAGUGGGGGAUAGCCCAGAGAAAUUUGGAUUAAUACCCCGUAACAUAGCGAUGUGGCAUCACAUUGCUAUUAUAGAUUUUUCGCUUGUUGAUGGGUGUGCGGCUGAUUAGAUAGUUGGCGGGGUAACGGCCCACCAAGUCUACGAUCAGUAGCUGAUGUGAGAGCAUGAUCAGCCACACGGGCACUGAGACACGGGCCCGACUCCUACGGGAGGCAGCAGUAAGGAAUAUUGGACAAUGGACGCAAGUCUGAUCCAGCCAUGCCGCGUGAAGGAUUAAGGUCCUCUGGAUUGUAAACUUCUUUUAUAAGGGACGAAAAAAGGCUUUUCUAAGUCGUCUGACGGUACCUUAUGAAUAAGCACCGGCUAACUCCGUGCCAGCCGCCGCUGUAAGAC